CGGUUUAUCCCUGUUCUCUGAUUUCUGUGUAUGACCCUGGACUGUUUACUGUUGAUUUGGAUUCUGUGCUGCCUGUUUCUUGGAUAUUGGACUGUUUAUUGACCCAGUGAUCUUCUGCCGCCCGCCUUUGAAACCCUGCCUGUGCCAGCCCUGUGACACAUCACCACCCGCUCAAUCAGGAACACACCACACCCGUGAACAAUCACCCGAGUACUAAUCAUGAUCGCCUGCACCCUACUUAUACUCACCUCAACCACUUCCUCUUCAGCUGGUAUCUGCGUUACACUUUUGCCUGGCUCAUCUCCUGCAUUGUCCCCUGUGUUACCAGGAAGUUUGUAUGAUGGCUCUACGGAUACAUUGAACUUGCCUAUUUUCCCUUGGCUGAAGAUACCUGUGUUUAACACGUCUACCUGACUGUUCUGUGUUUCACUUUGUUUCACAAUAAAACUCACUAAAACUUAAGUCUGCUUCUCCCUUCCAUGUGUGGAUGUGACCGUAUACUAGCCCCUAAAACAAUGGAUUUACCCGCAACAACAACCGGAGCAGUGUCUGAUCUGUCAAUCAAAAUCAUCCCCUCAACCUACAUUCCACUUCCAUCGAAAGUCCAGAAACUGCUGUCACUGUUAACAUUCCCUCCGUAUAUCAAUCCUUCGCAGAUGUCUUCAGCAAGGAAUGUGCCACCAAAUUAUCACCUCACCGGCCCUGGGACUGUAGUAUCGACCUGCUGCUAGACACCAAAUUACCCCAUGGAAAAGUUUAUCCUUUCUCUCGUCCCGAACAUGAUGCCAUGGAAGAGUAUAUCCACAAAGCUCUCCAGUCAGGGGUUUAUCAGGCCAUCUAUGUCACCAGCUGCCUCCAGCUUUUUCUUUGUGGCAAAGGAUGGCAGUCUCCCUCCGUGCAUAGACUAUCGAGUACUAAACAAAGCCACAAUAAAAUUUGCUUACCCACUUCCACUAGUUCCUGUGGCCCUAGAAGAGUUCCUGGAGGCUCUUGUCUUCACCAAACUUGAACUGCAAAGUGCUGAUCUGUAUCCGAGAGGGGGACGAAUGGAAGACCACCUUUAUCACUCACUCACUAUGAAUAUCAGAUGGUGUACACAUGGAACCUACCAACGUAGAUGCUGUUACCAGCUGGGAAGAGCCCAAGAUGGUGAAGAAAAUGCAAUGUUUCCUGGGGUUUGUAAAUUUUUACCAUCGUUUUAUGAAGAAUUACAAUCUUUAUUCUGCCCCUUUAACCACUUUAUUUAAAGUUGGACAACGCUCCCUAACCUGGGCACUCAAGGCUCGACAGGCUUUCCAAUUCCUGAAGCAACAGUUCUGGACUGUGAACUUGAACUUACCUAUUUUCCCUUGCCUGAAGAUUCAACCUGUGUUGAACACCUGUGUUGUUUUACAAUAAAACUCACUGAAACCUAAGUCUGCUUUUCCCUUCCAUGUGUGGAUGUGACAUGGAUACACCAUCAACUCAGUGGAUUGCCUGAGCAAAGAAUCUAUUCGUCUGUCUGGCUAUCCUGGUGCUCAGUCCUCUGUAGUGUCAACUAGAUGGCAACAGUUCAAAGAGGGAAUAUGUUGGGUGUGAGGGGUCCAGAUUGAUUUUCUUAGCCCUUUUGCUUAUUUUUGAUGAGUGCAGUUCUGGGAGACUGGAGAGGGUUAUACCAGUGAUUUGCUCGGCAGUCCAGACUACCCUCUGUAGUCUUCUGAGAUCAGAUUUGGUAGCUGA